rnacentral:rRNA from 1 species
CCUGGUUGACCCUGCCAGUAAUCAUAUGCUUGUCUCAAAGAUUAAGCCAUGCAUGUCUAAGUACAUGCCGAAAUAAGGCGAAACCGCGAAUGGCUCAUUAAAUCAGUUAUGGUUCCUUAGAUCGUUUCUUCCUACUUGGAUAACUGUGGCAAUUCUAGAGCUAAUACAUGCAGUGAGCCUGGAGCCCUUUGGGUAACGGGUGCUUUUAUUAGACCAAGAUCGAUCGGGUUUCCCCUAUGGUGACUCUGGAUAACUUUGUGCUGAUCGCAUGGCCACGAGCCGGCGACGUUUCUUUCAAGUGUCUGCCUUAUCAACUUUCGAUGGUAGGUUACUUGCUUACCAUGGUUGUUACGGGUAACGGAGAAUCAGGGUUCGAUUCCGGAGAGGGAGCCUGAGAAACGGCCACAUCCAAGGAAGGCAGCAGGCGCGCAAAUUACCCACUCCCGGCACGGGGAGGUAGUGACGAAAAAUAACAAUACGGGACUCUUUUGAGGCCCCGUAAAGAAACGAUAGCACUCUAAAUCCUUUAACGAGGAUCAAUUGGAGGGCAAGUCUGGUGCCAGCAGCCGCGGUAAUUCCAGCGCCAAUAGCGUAUACUAAAGCUGCUGCGGUUAAAAAGCUCGUAGUUGGAUCUCAGUUCGCAGACGAGAGUGCACUAGCCCGAUGCGACCGGACGGAACUGAACAUCAUGGCCGUCUUCUGGUGCACUCAAUGGUGCCUCGAGACUGCCGGGCUUUAAGCUGAAAAAAUUAGAGUGCUCAACGCAGGCGAGUCGCCUGAAUAAACUUGCAUGGAAAUCAAAUAGAACAAACCUCGUUCUGUCGGUUGGUUUUGGAAAACCGAGGUAAGAUAAAGAGGGAGCGGACGGGUGCGGGGGCAUUCGUAUUGCGGCGCUAGAGGUGAAAUUCUUGGACCGUCGCAAGACGAACGACUGCAAAGCAUUUGCCAAGAAUGUUUUCAUUGAUCAAGAACGAAAGUCAGAGGUUCGAAGGCGAUCAGAUACCGCCCUAGUUCUGACCAUAAACGAUGCCAACCAGCGAUCCGCCUGAGUUACUCAAAUGACUCGGCGGGCAGCUUCCGGGAAACCAAAGUAUUUGGGUUCCGGGGGAAGUAUGGUUGCAAAGCUGAAACUUAAAGGAAUUGACGGAAGGGCACCACCAGGAGUGGAGCCUGCGGCUUAAUUUGACUCAACACGGGAAAACUUACCCGGCCCGGACACUGGGAGGAUUGACAGAUUGCGAGCUCUUUCUUGAUUCGGUGGAUGGUGGUGCAUGGCCGUUCUUAGUUGGUUGGAGCGAUUUGUCUGGUUAAUUCCGAUAACGAACGAACCUAGCCUAUUAAAAGGUUGCGGGGUUCCCAGCACCUUACAACCUUCCUAGGGGGCGAGGACACCAGCGCUCGCUAGCCCACGAAACAGAGCAAGUACGACAGGUCGUGAUGCCUUAGAUGUCCGGGCCACCGCGCAACACGAAGGAACGCACGUGUCUUCUAUCCUGUCGAAAAGACUGGGUAACCCUGACACUUUCUCGGAUGGAAGGGCGCAAUGUUCCCCUUGAAACGAGGAAGCCCAGUAAGCGCGAGUCAUAACCGCGUUGAUUACGUCCCUGCCCUUUGUACACACCGCCCGUCGCUACUACCGAUUGAAUGAUUUAGUGAGGUCUUCGGACCGAUGUCCGGCGCGGCCUUUCGGUUGCGCCGGUCUGUUGGAAAGAUGACCAAACUUGAUCAUUUAGAGGAAGUAAAAGUCGUAACAAGGUUUCCGUAGGUGAACCUGCGGAAG